CGGCCCGGCCCGACACUGCUCUUUGGGCCACUGCAGCCCUCUCAGCCAGCAACCUGAUGGUAGCAAGCUUUCCCGGCACUGAGCUACCUUUGCACUGUGGCUGAAGUCACCUCACCCAGCACGGCACUGAGGGUGCCUGGCCCUGCUCCCCAGUGCCCGGGAUGCCUUGCUCCCUGGAUGGCACCAAAAUCAACCUCCCCCUGCUCUCCCGAGACAGAGUCUCACUAAAUUACCCAGGCAGGACUCAAAUUUGCAAUCCUCCUGCCUCAGCCUCCUUGAGUGCUGGGAUUACAGAUGUGCACCACCACACCUGGAUAUACCCAGCCUUUUUCUAACACCCCCUUGCCAUUUACACUGGCGCCUCAGCACCCUGGCCAAGCAUAUUUCUCCUGGAGUUCCCAUUCCCACUCCCUACCUGGGCAGUGCCAGGGCACCCUGCAGACUCUCUUCGUCCACCUGGCUCUGGGAGAAGGCUGCAGACUCCCCAGGCAGUUAUGACUCCCCAGCCAGUAAUCCCCUCGGCCCCUCUGAGGCAGGGGCUCCUUGAAAGCAGGACCUGACACCUGCCAGCCAUCCAUGGCAGCCGAGUGGAGCCCAGCCACCCCGCUCAAGGAGCAGACCCUCGAAGGCUGCAUGGAAAUAAUUUUUAAUAUGCUGAAGCACAUUAAAAAUGCAUUAGAAAAGCAGGCGAUUUAAAUGGAAUUCCACAGGGAAUCGUUGUCUAAAAUCGAGAGCCUCUUUUUAAUGGG
rnacentral:lncRNA from 1 species